GGGGUGAGCUGCAGCCUGCCAGAGCCUUCCUGGGAGGAGAGGUUAGCAAAUGCAGUGACACCACUGUGGAGACUUCCCUACCAGGAGCAGCUGCAGAACUCCUCUGCAGGUCAAGUAUGAAAGCCAGAGGAAGAUUUUGCAGACAUUGGCAUCUCGUCUUGAGGAGCUGGGCAUAGAUGCACAGAAACCUGGUGGGCUCUGCUGUCCUCUGCAGCCUGUAGUCCCUUCGGUGAGUGUGCCAUGGGAGUGCUCUUCCCUCUGAGCCACGAACAGUCUCUCACUCAGCAGCUCAAGAGUCUCAUGGGGGGCAUCAUUUGCCUGCAGAGAGUGUCUGAGUCAGUCCUUGCUACCUUG